AGUGAACGCUGGCGGUAGGCCUAACACAUGCGAGUCGAACGGCAGCACAGUAAGAGCUUGCUCUUACGGGUGGCGAGUGGCGGACGGGUGAGGAAUACAUCGGAAUCUACUUUUUCGUGGGGGAUAACGUAGGUAAACUUACGCUAAUACCGCAUACGACCUACGGGUGAAAGCAGGGGAUCUUCGGACCUUGCGCGAUUGAAUGAGCCGAUGUCGGAUUAGCUAGUUGGCGGGGUAAAGGCCCACCAAGGCGACGAUCCGUAGCUGGUCUGAGAGGAUGAUCAGCCACACUGGAACUGAGACACGGUCCAGACGCCUACGGGAGGCAGCAGUGGGGAAUAUUGGACAAUGGGCGCAAGCCUGAUCCAGCCAUACCGCGUGGGUGAAGAAGGCCUUCGGGUUGUAAAGCCCUUUUGUUGGGAAAGAAAAGCAGCAGGUUAAUACCCCGCUGUUCUGACGGUACCCAAAGAAUAAGCACCGGCUAACUUCGUG
rnacentral:rRNA from 1 species